GUGCUGUGUAAAGGAGAGAAGAUCAGCACUCCCAUAAUAAUAAUGAAAGGGGCCAAGAGACUUUACAACACACAAAUAAUUAAGGCAUUGCCAUCUACAUUGUGGCAUCUAACCAUGAUUUCAG